rnacentral:tRNA from 1 species
GCCUUCUUGGCUCAGUUGGCAGAGCGUCUGCCUAGUAAGCAGAAGGUCACUAGUUCGAUUCUGGUAGAAGGCA